rnacentral:rRNA from 1 species
CCUACGGGGGGCUGCAGUGAGGAAUAUUGGUCAAUGGACGAGAGUCUGAACCAGCCAAGUAGCGUGAAGGAUGACUGCCCUAUGGGUUGUAAACUUCUUUUAUAUGGGAAUAAAACGUUCCACGUGUGGGAUUUUGUCUGUACCAUAUGAAUAAGGAUCGGCUAACUCCGUGCCAGCAGCCGCGGUAAUACGGAGGAUCCGAGCGUUAUCCGGAUUUAUUGGGUUUAAAGGGAGCGUAGGUGGAUUGUUAAGUCAGUUGUGAAAGUUUGCGGCUCAACCGUAAAAUUGCAGUUGAAACUGGCAGUCUUGAGUACAGUAGAGGUGGGCGGAAUUCGUGGUGUAGCGGUGAAAUGCUUAGAUAUCACGAAGAACUCCGAUUGCGAAGGCAGCUCACUGGACUGCAACUGACACUGAGGCUCGAAAGUGUGGGGAUCAAACAGGAUUAGAUACCCCUGUAGUC